rnacentral:rRNA from 1 species
UUUAUGGAGAGUUUGAUCCUGGCUCAGGAUGAACGCUGGCGGCGUGCCUAAUACAUGCAAGUCGAGCGAACAGAUAAGGAGCUUGCUCCUUUGACGUUAGCGGCGGACGGGUGAGUAACACGUGGGUAACCUACCUAUAAGACUGGAAUAACUCCGGGAAACCGGGGCUAAUGCCGGAUAACAUAUAGAACCGCAUGGUUCUAUAGUGAAAGAUGGUUUUGCUAUCACUUAUAGAUGGACCCGCGCCGUAUUAGCUAGUUGGUAAGGUAAUGGCUUACCAAGGCGACGAUACGUAGCCGACCUGAGAGGGUGAUCGGCCACACUGGAACUGAGACACGGUCCAGACUCCUACGGGAGGCAGCAGUAGGGAAUCUUCCGCAAUGGGCGAAAGCCUGACGGAGCAACGCCGCGUGAGUGAUGAAGGGUUUCGGCUCGUAAAACUCUGUUAUUAGGGAAGAACAUAUGUGUAAGUAACUGUGCACAUCUUGACGGUACCUAAUCAGAAAGCCACGGCUAACUACGUGCCAGCAGCCGCGGUAAUACGUAGGUGGCAAGCGUUAUCCGGAAUUAUUGGGCGUAAAGCGCGCGUAGGCGG